ensembl:lncRNA
UAUGUAUGUAUGUAUGUAUGUAUGUAUGUAUGUAUGUAUGUAUCCCAACCGGACAAAUGACGCGACUCCAUCGGAAUGCCGUGGCUUACUACUCUAGUGCUCUAUCUACUUCAAUCAUCAGACAGGAGCCCCCACCACCGAGAGGUCCAAGGUUGCUGCGGUCAUUUCCCUGCUUACCAGACGGGCUUUGGAGUGGGCCACGGCCUUCUAGGAGAGGAGGAGCUGAGUUCCUAUGAGAGGUUCAUGGCUCUGUUUAUGGCGAUCUUCGAUCAUCCACCUGAGGGCAGGGCGGGAGGUCGCUGAGGCACAGUUCCAGCAGGUCUUCCGACACUAUGGCCUUCCGGAGGACAUCGUCUCCAAUAGUGGCCUCCAAUUCACAUCACGGGUAUGGAAAGCCUUCAUGGAGAAGCUGGGGGUCACCGGGCAGGUGGAGAGGAUGAACCAGGAGCUGGGGAGGUUCCUUAGGUGCUGGCCUGGUUCCAUCCCUGGAUAGAGUACACCCAGAAUUCACCGUGCCACUCCUCCACCGGGCAGACCCCCUUCCAGUGUGUCCUGGGAUAUCAACCAGCUCUGGCUCCAUGGACCCCAAGCCAGACCGACGCUUCUGCGGCAGACUAGUAGUUCAGAAGGAGCAGGUGGAGCCGGCAGACUGAGGUUCCUGUAUUCCAUCCUGGUGAUCGUGUCUGGCUCGCCACCGGGAACCUCCUGCUCUGUAGGAAGCUGAGUCUCCGGUUUAUGGGGCCCUUUAAGGUCCUCCGGGCAACCCGGUGGUUCCUGGUUACCCACCCCCGGACAUCGAUGGGAGUCUCACCUUUGCCGUCAGGUCCCUCCUGGACUCCCGAGGUCGUGGGGGUUGGCUCCACUACCUGGUGGACUGGGAGGGUACGGUCCAGAGGAGCGCUGUUGGGUCACGGUGGACGCCCCCCGCAACGCCCCUGGACAUCGAUGGGCGCCUCGCCUUUGCCGUCAGGUCCCUCCUGGACUCCUGACGUCGUGGGGGUUGGCUCCAGUACCUGGUGUACUGGGAGGGUAUGGGCAUGGCGUCAUCCUGCGGCUAGUGGAGGGGGUACUGUCACGCCUACUCCUGUCACUUCCGCUCCGGCACUCGACUGCGCCAGUCUACUAACCACCGGUCCUAGCAACCCACAUUACGCACACCUGGCAACCAUCAUUGCGCACACCUGGACUUCAUCAUCACCCUGAUUACUUUCCCUUUUAUUUAGCCUUCAGUAGCCUCAGUCUUCAGGCAGUAUUGGUAUGGUUUAUGUUGAAUACGCUGCCCCUGUUUUGAUUAUCUUCAUGUUUCUUAUUAUUAAACUCACCUUCUGCACCUGCUUCCUGACUCCCUCGACACAGAUUAAGCCUAGUCCUGAAAUUAAAAGCAUGAUCAAGGGAGGAUCUGGCACAGUGUGUACCUGUCCAGGCUAGAGGGUGACUGUGGGCCUUGGUGUGUCUGUGGGGAACCUUUGGAAGUCUGGCUGGAGUACGUCACACUAGACUCCUCAUAGGGGAUCCUGCUGGGGUACAGACCGCUUGUUUGCAGAGGGGAACAGGUGCCAACGCUUCCUGAAAUAUAACAGGGUAGGAGUGCUGAUCUAGGUUCAGUUUAUUUUUAAAGGGAAAGCCAUCUUCACCAAAGCCAUUGCAUGCUUCAUUGCAAGUUAAGCAUGUUACUGUACUUCAGCAUGUGACAAAUAAAACUUGAAACCACAAUGAUUCUAUUCUAUGUAGUUGAGGAAACCUGGAAUCUAUCGCCAUUCAAUUUAAGCUAUAGUUCAAUAUAAUGUCUCUUUUAUUGAAAUAUUAUGUAAUGUGAGUUCUUUGGUUAGGUCAUCACAUCAAUGUGAAAGGUUUCAACAACCAAUUUAAAGAAACAAGACUAGUGAUCUUCAUAUGUGAAAGCAGUGAGAAGAUAAUAUGCACAAAUAUAUUUGUAUCGUUUGUCAGACUC